rnacentral:rRNA from 1 species
GACGAACGCUGGCGGCGUGCUUAACACAUGCAAGUCGAACGGAAAGGCCCUGCUUUUGUGGGGUGCUCGAGUGGCGAAAGGGUGAGUAACACGUGAGUAACCUGCCCUUGACUUUGGGAUAACUUCAGGAAACUGGGGCUAAUACAGGAUAGGAGCUCCUGCUGCAUGGUGGGGGUUGGAAAGUUUCGGCGGUUGGGGAUGGACUCGCGGCCCAUCAGCUUGUUGGUGGGGUAGUGGCUUACCAAGGCUCUGACGGGUAGCCGGCCUGAGAGGGUGACCGGCCACAUUGUGACUGAGAUACGGCCCGGACUCCUACGGGAGGCAGCAGUGGGGAAUAUUGCGCAAUGGGCGGAAGCCUGAUGCAGCAACGCCGCGUGCGGGAUGACGGCCUUCGGGUUGGAAACCGCUUUCGCCUGUGACGAAGCGUGAGUGACGGUAAUGGGUAAAGAAGCACCGGCUAACUACGUG